rnacentral:rRNA from 1 species
AUUCGACCUGAGCUCA